rnacentral:rRNA from 1 species
AGAGUUUGAUCAUGGCUCAGGAUGAACGCUGGCGGCGUGCCUAAUACAUGCAAGUCGAGCGAAUGGAUUAAGAGCUUGCUCUUAUGAAGUUAGCGGCGGACGGGUGAGUAACACGUGGGUAACCUGCCCAUAAGACUGGGAUAACUCCGGGAAACCGGGGCUAAUACCGGAUAACAUUUUGAACCGCAUGGUUCGAAAUUGAAAGGCGGCUUCGGCUGUCACUUAUGGAUGGACCCGCGUCGCAUUAGCUAGUUGGUGAGGUAACGGCUCACCAAGGCAACGAUGCGUAGCCGACCUGAGAGGGUGAUCGGCCACACUGGGACUGAGACACGGCCCAGACUCCUACGGGAGGCAGCAGUAGGGAAUCUUCCGCAAUGGACGAAAGUCUGACGGAGCAACGCCGCGUGAGUGAUGAAGGCUUUCGGGUCGUAAAACUCUGUUGUUAGGGAAGAACAAGUGCUAGUUGAAUAAGCUGGCACCUUGACGGUACCUAACCAGAAAGCCACGGCUAACUACGUGCCAGCAGCCGCGGUAAUACGUAGGUGGCAAGCGUUAUCCGGAAUUAUGGGGCGUAAAGCGCGCGCAGGUGGUUUCUUAAGUCUGAUGUGAAAGCCACGGCUCAACGUGGAGG